rnacentral:rRNA from 1 species
UUCGGAAUAUUCGGCAAUGGACGCAAGUCUGACCGAGCGACGCCGCGUGGAGGAUGAAGGCCCUCUGGGUCGUAAACUCCUGUCACGGGUGAACAAAUCAUUUUAUGCGAACAGCAUGAGAUGUUGAGUUAAGCCUGAGAGGAAGCCCCCGCUAAUCACGUGCCAGCAGCGGCGGUAAUACGUGAGGGGCAAACGUUGUUCGGUGUCACUGGGCUUAAAGGGUGCGUAGGUGGCUAUGUAAGUAAGGUGUGAAAGCCCUCGGCUUACCCGGGGAAUUGCGCCUUAAACUACAUAGCUUGAGGGUCAGAGAGGUUGGAGGAACUCCAGGUGUAGCGGUGAAAUGCGUAGAUAUCUGGGGGAAGGCCGGCGGCGAAGGCGUCCAACUGGCUGAUUCCUGACACUGAGGCACGAAAGCGUGGGGAGCAAACAGGAUUAGAUACCCCGGUAGUCC